UCAAUCUGAAUCCAUACCAGGUCAGUGGUGACCAAAAGUUAUUACCACCUGAGGCUGUUUAGUGUCCUCCUUCCAGUUCCCAACUGAUAAGUAUUACACAAACCACUGCCAUCCCUACUCUUAUUGACUCAAUAGGCAUGGACCCUUUCACCAUUACAGAUCGCCUCUCCAGUUCAGGCAUAUUGGCAUUGGACAGAGGUGGGCAACCUACGGCCCGCGGGCCACAGCCAGCCCGACCCCUGAGCUCCCAGCUGGGGAGGCUCGCCCCCAGCCCCUCCCCUGCAGUUACGCCACUGUGCGAGGAGUGCGACUUGUGCCUGCCCACCUCCCAGGCUGUCCAGCAAGCUUGCCCUGCUGCUCUGAGCGGCCUGGAUUCACAUUUUGAAGAUUUCUCAGCAACCAUAAAUACUAGAAAUGAAAGCUGAGACUCUCAGGAGAAACACCAAAUAUCGUAAGACUCAAGAUAAAAUCACAAGAGUUGGCAACACUACAGUCUACUUCUCCUGUGUUGGGGCAGAGGACAUGGCACCCACCCUAUCUUCCAAAAUCAUUCUUUUCUUUAGCUGAUUGUAAAUGCUACAAAACAUUUUGUAACAAGGGAGUUGGAACUCAAUAGAUCAAUAGUUCUGGGCACACUGAUCACCAAUGGAAAAACUGCUACUAUUAAGUAAACGAAAGGAGCCUGCCGCUCUGGAGGUGGGGAGCCCUUUAACAGACAGUUUAGACUGCAAGGAUGAGGCUGGCUGUCUUUUUCUCUUUGAAGUUGUGAGAGAAGCUCGCCUUUGCUACAUGGAAGUGCUUUCUGCUCAUUCUGUGGAACUUUUCAGACAUGUCUGUAUAAAUGGGAAGACGGAUGAUGGCCAGCCUUCAGAGUGGUACUUUCAUAAUUAGGACUGACUUUAAAAGAGUUUUUCUAAAGUAACCCAUUUUUUUCUAUUUUUAUCAAUUUAAAUUUUUACAGUUGCAGGAAAUUAUGGGGCAGGUCAGAUAAUAAUCAUUUAAUGAUAAAGUUUUAUAACCAUUAAAAUGCAAAUUGUCAAUAUCACAUAUCAAAAUGUACAAAGUAUCUAUCCUUAAAUCAAACUCUCAGAAGUUCUCAAGCAGCAUUUUUCUUGCGUUGCCUCUUGGUUCAUUUUCAUUAUUGUUGAUGAAAAUAUAUUUUCAUAGGUUUGUGUGUGCACAGUAAAAUCAAUGUUUAUUGGCAUUUACUGAUUAGAAAUGUAAUCCUUCCAAACUUGUUUAUAACCUAACCAGAUAUAAAAAAUGCUGUAAAUUCUACUAAUAAAUCAUAAAGUAGCAACCACUUUUGAGAUUAUUGUGAGAGGUGUUCAUCGGUAUAGGUACUCUAGUUGGGUUACCAUGAUCAGUUAACUAGAUAAUCUGCUAAAGUGCACUGUUUGGAAAAGAUUGGAUCCUUGGAACAGAAAGAUUAUUAUGGCCUAUUCUCUUUAUGGCAGACCUUAGAAAAUUUGUAGUUCAUCGUUUAGUUUAUUUCAUUGACUCAGAUAAGUGUUAUCCGUGCAUAAUUAAAUCUGAAUGUUUAAAAUACUGAUAACAAUUUCAGUUACAAUUGUAUUGCUCAUUUUUAGUAACCUUUUUUAAAAAAAAUAGCAGAAGGCACUGACUGUUUCAUGCCUUACUAUCAGUAUGAAAAAUUAAGCUUUUAAUGUUAAGACUAAGUAAAAGUUAAUCUGUCCUGUUUUCUUGCUUUUAUAAAACCUGAAAUUGAAAUGCAUUUUCCCCCCAGGCUUUGCAUGCACAAAAAGAUGGUAUAGUUUGAAAUUGUUAUGUAAAAUAGUUUUAUAUGUUCAAGGGGGUGACUAAUUUUGAUCCUUGAAUGUGAAGGAGUGGGGAGGGGGUUGUUACAUUAGAUUCUUAACUGUAGUAGCUUGAGCCACAGGAAGGCAGCAUGACCUAUUGCAUAGGGCAGUGAACAGAGAGUUAGAAGACCUUGGUUCUAUUCCUGGCUCAGCCACUGACCUAUUUGUGACCUUGGGGAAGUAACUUCCCCUCUUUAUACCUCUGCUAACUCUUCCUCCCUUUGUCUUAUCUAUUUAAAUUAUAAACUCUUUUAGGCAGAGACUCUAUCUCACUUU